CACACACACACACGCACAUAGUUCACAGCUACACAUGCGCACACACACACACACACACACACAAACACACACACACACACACACACACAUAAACUCAGAGCCACACACACACACACACACACACACACACACACACACACACACACACAUAAACUCAGAGCCACACACACACACACACACACACAUAUAAACUCAGGUCUACUUACAAACACACACACACGCAUUCAAACUCAGAGCCACACACAGACACACAAACACACAGCUACAAACACACACACAAAUCCGCUCUGAGCAACACACACACACACACACACACAAAUAUGCUCAGAGCUACAAACAAAUACAUACCCACAUACACACACACAUAACUUGCCCCUACACACACACACACACACACACACAUAACUCCUACACACCUGCUCAAUGUUGCCCCAUUGCAACACAUUCUAUUGUCACGCCUGUGAUUGACAUUGAUUGUAACACACCCACUCACUUUCUCUCUCUCUCCCACUCUCUCUCUGUCUCCAACUGGGAAAGUCCCACACACACAAACACCUUUGCUACUUAAGGAGUCGCACUCGAACACAUUCACAGAGGAACACUGAACCGCAGGUGGGACUCACUCGCUCAACGACACAGCAACACGCACCCAAGGAAGAUCCUUUCACCCCAUUGAUGCCCAUCGCCAAGGCAACAUUCCCAGCACCAGCCUAAGUUACCCCCGCUGUCCACCAAACUGCUACCAUGACUAUGUACGGACUCCCGAUCCUGGCGGCUGUUUGCUGCAGUCUCCUUCUCCUCACGUUGUUCCCGGUCGGCUCAGAAUCAGCAAGCUGCUGCCUAAGAUACCGCCAACUCCGGUUGAAAUGUAAAGAUACCCACCACUAUUCCCUGCAGAACAUCAACGGGUCUUGCGACAUGCGAGCUGUGAUCUUCCACGUUGGACAGAAAUUUGUCUGUGCUGAUCCGAAUGGAAAGAGGACCAAACAUCUCAUGGCUUGUUUGGAUAACAAGGGGAGAACCCGCAACAGAUGGCAUUCCUGACUUCACCAAGAAUCAUAAUUGUUGCAUGAUGAUUGUAUCUUUUUGAAUAGCUUUUGUUAUUGUUCUCAUAGGGCUCACUUGUUUUUUGAAGUGGAACUUUACACCAGUCACGACAUAUUGAGCAACAAAGAUAUGAAUGUGAAAUUAAGAAAGUCCGAUACAAUGGAAAGACUCAACAAAAAUGUCUCAAUGGGGAAACUUGUCUUUUCUGUGGAAUGAUCAAAUUGUAAAAGCCCAAAAAAAAAAAGUGUUUUAUGCGGAGUGGGUUGAAUUGAGAAAUUGAGAGAUUGAAUUAAUGACAUUUUAUUAUGUUAUCUACGGUUAUGUAUUUUCCACCUCAAACUAAACAAAUGUAGUUCCCAUGUUAACCCUUACUUUGUUCUGUGAACAAAAAAAGAAUGUUUGCUAAUAAAAUUAAAUAUUGAAAGAAAACAACAACUGAAUAUUAAUCUAAUUUUAAACUGUUUUUCAAUAUGCAAAAUAAUAUGAUACAUUCAUUACACAUUAUCUCAAAAUUACUUUAAUUAGUUGCAAUUCAUUGUCAUACAAACUAUUAAUUCCUAGGGCUUGGAUACGAAAAUCAAUCAAGUUAUUGAAAGUAUGAAAUAAAAUGAGAUUGCAAAGGGUCUUGAGGAACAUCGAUUUUGGAAUCCUAAGGCACACCAUGACAUAUUUCUGUUGUCCUCCCCUUUGAGUAUUUAUUACCAGGUCCUCUGCUUUGACCAGAUACACUGCCUUGCACACAAAACCACACAAAACCAGUCAAACCCUUUGGACACAUUAAGCUUUUUACUGGUCUGGUCUCUCUCCGGGGGAUCCCUACACCACGGUGAGCCGUAGAUGCUCUCCCAUUGGGUGCUCCUGGGUGUCCAGGGCCUGCUGGAGCUUCUCCCAGAACAGGUCUGGGUGUGCGUCUGCGCGGGACCAGCUCAGGUAGGUUUGUCUCUUCAGGAGCCUCCUCAUGCGGUAGUACGGAGACAGCUGCUGCAUGGGAAUGUCCUCCAGGAACACCAGGAUCAGCACGUCCUUCUGCUCGUCAAACAGACGGAAGCUGGGGAAUGGAAACGGGGAGAGUUGUUUUUUCAUGUAUGUGUGCUGUUAAACCUUCAGGGGAAGGUUGGUCGAUGCCCCCAUCCACCCCCAGUCAGACCAACACAAACCAUACCUUUCCAAAUGGUUGAAUUGGUCCUUGAGCAGAAAUACUUUCCUACUAUACUCAAGUAUUAUUUGUGAAUAUCUCUAAUUCUGUUGAUUUUCUCUGUUGAUUUUUGAAUGGUAACAAGCAAGUAGGGGGGGGGAAGAGUGGACAUGCAGAGGAUGCAUCAGAAGAGAAUGCAGCCACAGAACUCAAAAUUGACACAAUAUGUACACAAUAAAAGAGAAAAUGCCUGAAAGCAGUACAAAAGAGGACCCUAAGUACUUGUUUAUUGCUGCUUGAAACUCAGCUUUGCUAUAGUAAUGGGUGUCGCUCUCACUCACCUCUGUAGAGCAUGUCUACAUACAGCCGAUAAGAAUAACUUGACUUAUAACUUGAAAAUGCAUAAGAUCGCACUGCUUUUCUUUCUGCUUUCACUUUUUGAAUGUGACAAUCUCGGUUGUUGAACAAAUAUAUAUUCUAUACCUUAAGAAGAAUUCUUCUUCAUUUAUGUGAAAAGGUUUAUAUUAUUAUGUUUACUACGGUC
ensembl:lncRNA